CCAGGCUGUCAUGAGACACGAUAUUUUAGAUUUCACAUGGACUCUAAAGUAAGUGCUAUUCCCGUAUUUCAGAUAAGGACACUGAUAUGCACAAGGUCUGUUUGAGUCUGUUGACCCUGCCUUGGAUUCUGGAUCUUCCGAGAGCAUCAGAAUCACCCAGAGGACUUGAUAAGCAGGUGUCUACCUUGGAUGACAGGCAUCACCCUGGAGCAGCUUUCGCACCAUGCUGGCUGAGAACCCUGGAGGACCCAGAGCCCGGAUUCCAGGGCAGGAAGCCUUGGGGUCCUCUCCCUCAAGUGUGUGGUGUCGGAAGAAUGCAAUUAAAGGAAUCUGUGGUCCAAUGAGUUUGGAAAGCUUUGCCUAUGGAACCCCCAAACCCCAUUGUCUCUACCCUUUGGAGAUUCAGAUUUCACAUUUGUCAAUUAUGGGCUGUGAGAAGUCCUAUAGUUAAGAAACCCAUGAAACUACACAGAGAGGCGUCAUGCCCUUGAUCUGACAUUGGGAGACGCUUUGGGGAAUACUGACCUGGUCUCAACACUACUGUUUAUAUCCAUAGAAAAAGAAGAUCCAGAAGGGUGGUUACUUGUUCAAGGUUGCCGAGACAGUAACAGGGCCGGGGCUGCAAACAGGCUUUGUGUUUCUGAGUCCUUUCCACAGGCAGAUCUCUCCCUGUUGUCCUGAACCACUCUGAGGUGAGCUGUCCCUCUCACCAGAUACUGAAGACAGGGGAGCAUUGGAGAGCCCUCCUCCUUUACCACCUCCAACCGCAGCAUCAGCCUCGUUGGGGAGAACUUGUUAAAAAUGUAGAUUCUCAGGUCCUGCACCUGAGCUCCUAAACCAGAAUUUCUGGGGUGGCUCCCCAAGAACCUGUGUCUUUAAAAGAACUCCAUUUCCCAAAGGGCCGUGUGGUGAGAGUUUGCAGUGGUGGCUUGAGAACAUCAACCUUUUUCUACUCAGCAAAGACAAGUUUAAACAGAUACCAGGUUCAACGGGAGACUCAUUUUCCAUUUUCCAUGGCAAAGAAUCCAAGCACUGGAAUAAGCCAGAGGUAUCAUUUGCUGAAUAUUUUUGUAAAGACAGUUUAAUUUCAGGCUCUUUAUUUGCAAGAGAGCUGGCUAACCCAAAUAAAACAUUAUACAUCUGUCUGUUGUUAUGAGUGACCAACUUCAGCUGAACAUGAUUACUUAAUAACAGCUAACUUUCCUAUAGAAUAAGAAUGUGCACUAGGUAAGAGCGGAUGGAAAUUUCCUUCGGUUCACCAGCCCUGAUUCCUCUUGCUCCAACAUGUGAAGAGCUUGGGUAAUAAGCAUGCUCUCCCCUUUAAUCACAGCCCGGCUUGGCCAUGCAUUGUUGUGAGGUGACUGGUAAAACAGGAAGAUUUAUGUCUGGGGGAAACCAAGGCCAGCGGUGUCGCCUUAGCUUCCCACAGGCGCAGCUCCCCAGGUUCUCUGCAGGGAAUAGAUUUCUACGGCUGCUCACGGAACCGCACUUGCUAUUCUCGUCUGGACUGAUUCAGACCCAGAGAAGAUGGCAAAGGAACACAGUUGUUGGCAGAGGAAGAGGAAGUACGGAGUGUUGGGGCUUGUUUGACUGUAACGGGGAAUAAGUCAGAGGACGGCAUCGGAGGACGGUCCUUACACAGAUAGAUUCUUCACUUUAUUUUAUUUAAUAAAACUUUAAACUGGGCAUAGCUGGAGCAUGGAAAGACGAAGAGAACCCGCAGGAAGCCGAGGAGGUGCGGCCGGUUCUCUCUGUCUUCCUCUGGCACGGGGACUUGCAGGACCUGGAACGCGACCCUUUUACCAACUUCAUAUGUGACUUGCAGUUCCUCAGAACGAGCUUCCCCCAAUCGCAUCUCCCUCCUGUGAAGACUAAGUCUAGCACCUUCCACCGCUCACCCGCAUCUUUCUUUGCCUCCAAUUUAUAAUAUUUUUUGACAGUGACAAAGACAUGGAAACAUAGAAAGCACAUUAUAAAUAUAGAUACUGAUUUCAGGCAGCCAGGCUUGUUUUUCUGGUUUUGUGCUAUUUUUUUCUUUUGUUGAAAAUGAAUUUGGAGUUGCUGGUCUUUAUGGUUAACUUGACGACUAGUGGACUUUGGUGUGAUUCACCUGCAUACGGGGAGGAAUUCUCCUUGUUGAUUUUCAUGCUAUCCCAUGGGGAAUCUUACCCCAGACAAAGGAAAUUAGGACUUUUGCUUGAUUUGGAACUAAGCUACUUAACAACGAGACGAGUGUCAAGACGUUUCACAAUCCAGUCUCACUGUCGUUAGUCUAAGCUUUGACCACAUUUCUUGAUACAGAAACUGGAUCUCACAGGAUCCCAGGAGAACGCAGUUAAUACCCAAAUUCUUGCUUUGUGGUCAAUUUAUUUUAAGGACUGGUAAUAUUUGUGAGUUGUUUUCUUGCCCCACAGUUGAAAACACAGAUGCUUCUGAUCUCUAAGUGAUAAUAAGACCUGUUUAAGUUUCAAAAUGCCUUCACAUUCAAAGUGGUAGACCUUUGCCAGUGAACUAAUCUCCGUCAGUAAACAGUGUAAGAAAAGACAUUCUUGCCAUCUGCACUUAAUUAGCUGGAGGAUGUUGGACCAGCUUUGGUGGUGUUUGGGUUUCUAGUUAUAAUACAAAAUGCCCAGUUAAAUUUGAAUUUCAGAUGGACGGCAAAAAACUUUUAGUAUAAGUAUGCCCUGGGCAAUAUUUGAUACGGGCUUAUACUAAAAAUUAUUCAUUGUUUAUCUGAAAUGCAGAUAUAUGAACUUUCUAUAUACUUGUAUAUGUACUAAAUGUAGAGAUACAGAUAGCACACUCGUCAUAAAUAUACACAUAUAUAUGUAUAUAUAGAUAUGUUUUUUAGUUUUUUGCUAAAUGCCUGUCAACCCUAGGGAAGAACAAAUAUAUGUUCUAGAAAAGCUCAGAAAGCCAAAAAACAACUUAAAGACAAGGUUUUAGUAUACAGAGGGCAUUCUGGGAAGAACAGUACUGGGAAC